rnacentral:rRNA from 1 species
UGGGGAAUUUUGGACAAUGGGGGGAACCCUGAUCCAGCCAUGCCGCGUGCAGGAUGAAGGCCUUCGGGUUGUAAACUGCUUUUGUACGGAACGAAAAGGUCUUUUCUAAUAAAGAAGGCUGAUGACGGUACCGUAAGAAUAAGCACCGGCUAACUACGUGCCAGCAGCCGCGGUAAUACGUAGGGUGCGAGCGUUAAUCGGAAUUACUGGGCGUAAAGCGUGCGCAGGCGGUUAUGCAAGACAGAUGUGAAAUCCCCGGGCUCAACCCGGGAACUGCAUUAGUGACUGCAUAGCUAGAGUGCGGCAGAGGGGGAUGGAAUUCCGCGUGUAGCAGUGAAAUGCGUAGAUAUGCGGAGGAACACCGAUGGCGAAGGCAAUCCCCUGGGCCUGCACUGACGCUCAUGCACGAAAGCGUGGGGAGCAAACAG